rnacentral:hammerhead_ribozyme from 1 species
UGCCGAAACGCGGGCGGUGCCCGCGUCCUGUGAGGGAUGGCCUCCCGCAGCUGAUGAAGGCAGGCCGGA